GACGAACGCUGGCGGCGUGCUUAACACAUGCAAGUCGAACGGAAAGGCCCUGCUUGCAGGGUACUCGAGUGGCGAACGGGUGAGUAACACGUGGGUGAUCUGCCCUGCACUUCGGGAUAAGCCUGGGAAACUGGGUCUAAUACCGGAUAGUAGCCAUUUUUAGUGUGAUGGUUGGAAAGUUUUUUCGGUGUAGGAUGAGCUCGCGGCCUAUCAGCUUGUUGGUGGGGUAAUGGCCUACCAAGGCGGCGACGGGUAGCCGGCCUGAGAGGGUGGACGGCCACAUUGGGACUGAGAUACGGCCCAGACUCCUACGGGAGGCAGAAGUGGGGAAUAUUGCACAAUGGGCGCAAGCCUGAUGCAGCGACGCCGCGUGGGGGAUGACGGCCUUCGGGUUGUAAACUCCUUUCGCUAGGGACGAAGCUUUUUGUGACGGUACCUAGAGAAGAAGCACCGGCUAACUACGUG
rnacentral:rRNA from 1 species